rnacentral:rRNA from 1 species
CAAUAGCGUAUAUUAAAGUUGUUGCAGUUAAAAAGCUCGUAGUUGGAUUUCUGGUAGGAGCGACCGUGCCGAACUUGAUUGUUCGAGUAUUGUGUUGUCUUCAGCCAUCCUCGUGGAGAACUUUUCUAACAUUAACUUGUUGGGAUUGGGACCCGCGUCGUUUACUGUGAAAAAAUUAGAGUGUUUAAAGCAGGCAUUAGCUUGAAUACAUUAGCAUGGAAUAAUAAGAUAGGACUUUGGUACUAUUUUGUUGGUUUGCAUACCAAAUUAAUGAUCAACAGGAACAGUUUGAGGAUAUUCGUAUGAACAUGUCAGAGGUGAAAUUCUUGGAUUUUGAUCAGACGAACUACUGCGAAAGCAUUUAUCAAGGAUGUUUUCAUUGA